AACGAACGCUGGCGGCAUGCCUAACACAUGCAAGUCGAACGAGACCUUCGGGUCUAGUGGCGCACGGGUGCGUAACGCGUGGGAACCUGCCCUUAGGUUCGGAAUAACUCCCCGAAAGGGGUGCUAAUACCGGAUAAUUUCUUCGGACCAAAGAUUUAUCGCCUUUGGAUGGGCCCGCGUUGGAUUAGCUAGUUGGUAGGGUAAAAGCCUACCAAGGCGACGAUCCAUAGCUGGUCUGAGAGGAUGAUCAGCCACACUGGGACUGAGACACGGCCCAGACUCCUACGGGAGGCAGCAGUGGGGAAUAUUGGACAAUGGGCGAAAGCCUGAUCCAGCAAUGCCGCGUGAGUAAUGAAGGCCUUAGGGUUGUAAAGCUCUUUUACCCGGGAUGAUAAUGACAGUACCGGGAGAAUAAGCUCCGGCUAACUCCGUG
rnacentral:rRNA from 1 species